rnacentral:lncRNA from 1 species
GGUCCACCCCCUCCGCCCCCCGCCCCCGGGCAGGGGAGCUCCGGGGUCCCCGGGCCGCGCUCCCCGCCACCCCCCGCCCCCCGGCGCCGGCCCAGCCCCCUCCACUGGAAACUCGUUGCCCUCGCCCGCCACUCGGCCCGGGAUCCUGGUUGCGCGUGGACCGCGCGUCCCGCUCUCCGCCGCCUCUCCCGGACUCCGAAACGCGCGGCGGACGGCCCCCUCCCCCACCGCCGAGACGGGGUGCGCCCGCCCACGUGUCGCCCCUUGCCCAGUCGGGUCCGUCCCUCGGGCUCCCGGGGCCGGAGGAUCCGGAGCGAGUUGGUCAAAGGCGAGGAAAGGGACCAGGGCGGAUCCGCUUCCCCCUCCCCGGGAACGGGCGGGGGAGGGGCCGCCGCCCCCUCCCCGAAGCUCCCGCCCCUCGCUUCCCCGAGCGCCGAGCGGAAAUUACCCCCUCCCCCCGCGGCUCUGACCUGGGGACGUGGGCGGGGCCUCGGCGCUCGGCCCCCCGCCCCCGGCCCCUCUCCCGCCUUCCCGCCCGGAUCCGAACGCUGCGCCCCAAACAAAGUUCCGAGCCCCGAACCCGGCGCCGCGAGAGCCGCGGUCGCCGGGCUGGGUGGGGCGGGCGGGAGGGGACUCCACCUGUCUGCCCCCGCGCCCGGGAGGGAGACGGGGAGCGUUCGGAUCUCCGCCCGGUCACUCCCUCCCGGAGACGUCCCCUCUGCGGUCCGCUCGGGUCUGCUCCCGCUACCACUCCUCCUCCUCCCCUUCACCCCUCCCUCUCUCCUGGGGUCAGCUUGGGCCGGAGCCGCGCGUCCCCCCAGGACCCCGGGACGGUGUCGUUGGGCAGCCGAGCCCCGGGGGCGAGCCACCCUUCCUUCUCCCGUGGGAACCCCGAAACGCGGUUUCCUGCGGAGCCCUGCUUCCCGGCCGCGGUCCCCCGUGUUCCCAGCUUCCCGGUCCCGCGCUCGCAGGGUCCUUCGGUGCCGGAUUCCCGGAGGCAGGGGAGUCUCCCGGGGCCGGGGCGGGCGAGGCCGAGACCCCUCACUAAAAAAUCUAGGGGAAGAGCGCCUUUCUUUAAAAAUCACCGGCUUGCGCGACCCCCGCCUGGAGACCCCAGAGUCCUCGGCUUCUCUUUGUCUAUCUCGGCCGUUCCCCGCCUGUCAGUCGCUAGCAGUUAACCGGGGUAGGGUGGGGAAACUCUCGCCCCCCACCCCCGCCCCGACCCCCACACGAAUAAAAAAUAACCGCACAUUUCACCCAUAA